rnacentral:rRNA from 1 species
GACGAACGCUGGCGGCGUGCCUAAUACAUGCAAGUAGGACGCAGUUGCGAACGGGUGAGUAACGCGUAGGUAACUACCUAUUAGAGGGGGAUAACUAUUGGAAACGAUAGCGAAUACCGCAUACUAGUAGAUGGACCUGCGUUGUAUUAGCUAGUAGGUAGGGUAAUGGCCUACCUAGGCAACGAUACAUAGCCGACCUGGGAGGGUGGUCGGGCAAACUGGGACUGAGAAACGGCCCAGAAUCCCUCGGGAGGGAACAAUAGGGGAUCUUUGGCAAUGGGGGGAACCCUGACCGAGCAACGCCGCGUGAGUGAAGAAAGUUUUCGGGUCGUAAAGCUCUGUUGUUUAGGAAGCGGUACUUAACCAGAAAGGGACGGCUAACUACGUGCCAGCAGCCGCGGUAAUAC